rnacentral:rRNA from 1 species
UGGGGAAUAUUGGGCAAUGGGCGCAAGCCUGACCCAGCGACGCCGCGUGGGUGAUGAAGGCCUUCGGGUUGUAAAGCCCUGUCAUGUGGAAAGAACAGUCCCGUGGUGAAUAUCCACGGGAUUUGACGGUACCACAGGAGGAAGCACCGGCUAACUCCGUGCCAGCAGCCGCGGUAAUACGGAGGGUGCAAGCGUUGUUCGGAAUUAUUGGGCGUAAAGGGCGCGUAGGUGGUUGUGCAAGUCAGAUGUGAAAUACUUCGGCUCAACUGAAGAACUGCAUCUGAAACUUCAUAACUAGAGGACAGGAGAGGGAAACGGAAGUCCCGGUGUAGAGGUGAAAUGCGUAGAUAUCGGGAGGAACACCAGUGGCGAAGGCGGUUUCCUGGCCUGAUACUGACGCUGAGGCGCGAAAGCGUGGGGAGCAAACA